AAGUUGAGUAGUAUAAUAAGUACGCAUCACUUACAAUGAUGAGGGUCGUAGAUUUCAUGUCGGCUUAACUUA
rnacentral:tRNA from 2 species